rnacentral:rRNA from 1 species
AGUUGGUGAACCAGCGGAGGGAUCAUUACCGAGUUUACAACUCCCAAACCCAAUGUGAACGUUACCAAACUGUUGCCUCGGCGGGAUCUCUGCCCCGGGUGCGUCGCAGCCCCGGACCAAGGCGCCCGCCGGAGGACCAACCAAAACUCUUUUGUAUACCCCCUCGCGGGUUUUUAUAUCUGAGCCAUCUCGGCGCCUCUCGUAGGCGUUUCGAAAAUGAAUCAAAACUUUCAACAACGGAUCUCUUGGUUCUGGCAUCGAUGAAGAACGCAGCGAAAUGCGAUAAGUAAUGUGAAUUGCAGAAUUCAGUGAAUCAUCGAAUCUUUGAACGCACAUUGCGCCCGCCAGUAUUCUGGCGGGCAUGCCUGUCCGAGCGUCAUUUCAACCCUCGAACCCCUCCGGGGGGUCGGCGUUGGGGAUCGGCCCUUUACGGGGCCGGCCCCGAAAUACAGUGGCGGUCUCGCCGCAGCCUCUCCUGCGCAGUAGUUUGCACACUCGCAUCGGGAGCGCGGCGCGUCCAUUGCCGUAAAACACCCAACUUUCUGAAAUGUUGACCUCGGAUCAGGUAGGAAUACCGCUGAACUUAAGCAUAUCAA